rnacentral:rRNA from 1 species
AACAAACGCUGGCGGCGUGCCUAACACAUGCAAGUCGUACGAGAAAGUCGGCUUCGGCCGAUGAGUACAGUGGCGCACGGGUGAGUAGCGCGUGGGUAAUCUGCCCCCCGGUCAGGAAUAACCCGCCGAAAGGCGGGCUAAUACCCGAUAACACUGACGCUCCGCGGAGCGUCUUUCAAAGAAGGCCUCUGUUUACAAGCUUUCGCCGGAGGAUGAGCCCGCGUACCAUUAGCUAGUUGGCAGGGUAAUGGCCUACCAAGGCUACGAUGGUUAGCUGGUCUGAGAGGAUGGCCAGCCACACUGGAACUGAGACACGGUCCAGACUCCUACGGGAGGCAGCAGUGGGGAAUAUUGGGCAAUGGGGGAGACCCUGACCCAGCGACGCCGCGUGAGGGACGAAGGUUUUCGGAUCGUAAACCUCUGUUGUACGGGAAGAAGGAUGUGACGGUACCGUACGAGGAAGCCCCGGCAAACUACGUG